rnacentral:rRNA from 1 species
UUUCUCCUACGGGGCGCAGCAGUGAGGAAUAUUGGUCAAUGGUCGGGAGACUGAACCAGCCAAGCCGCGUGAGGGAUGAAGGUACAGAGUAUCGUAAACCUCUUUUGUCAGGGAACAAAGGCGGGGACGCGUCCCCGGAUGAGUGUACCUGAAGAAAAAGCAUCGGCUACCUCCGUGCCAGCAGCCGCGGUAAUACGGGGGAUGCGUGCGUUAUCCGGAUUUAUUGGGUUUAAAGGGUGCGCAGGCGGUCUGUUAAGUCAGCGGAUACAGCGCGGGGCUCAACC